rnacentral:lncRNA from 1 species
GGGAAAUCUGCUCGGAAGCCACAAGUGAAAGACUCCCAGCCAUUGCUACCAUACAUAGUCUGAAUGGGGAUGAUGCCCCAGUCCCUCUUCUCAGUGGUUGGAACCACUGACACGUUGAGCUUCUCCUCUUGUGCACAGGUUCGAGCGGCACUGAAGGUGAUGGAGUAGAAGGACCCCUUAAUCAGCUUCAGCUUCUGCUUAAUGGAAGCUUCAUUGCCAAGUCUAACUGCAUAGUCACCCUCAGGCACAACUAGUAACAUGUCACCCUGUUUUUGUCCUGAUUUUAUGUAUUCAACGAACCCCGAAAUCGUCCAAUUCGGAAUGGCAUCGUGGCCAGUCACUACGGACCCUUUCAAUUGUGAUGGCUUUGGGCCCUGCUC